rnacentral:rRNA from 1 species
CCCCUAGAUGUUCUGGGCCGCACGCGCGCUACACUGAACAGUUCAACAAGUCUUAACCUUGGCCGAUAGGUCUGGGUAAUCUUUGAACGCUGUUCGUGAUUGGGAUAGACCUUUGCAAUUAUGGGUCUUCAACGAGGAAUUCCUAGUAAACGCAAGUCAUCAGCUUGCAUUGAUUACGUCCCUGCCCUUUGUACACACCGCCCGUCGCACCUACCGAUUGAAUGGUUCGAUGAAAUCGUUGGACUGUCGAAGUUUUCUUUAUUGAACGUUUCGACGGGAAAACGAGUAAAUCUCAUCAUUUAGAGGAAGGUGAAGUCGUAACA